UAACAGAGGUUCGAUCAUGGCUCAGAUUGAACUGGCGGGAUGCUUUACACAUGCAAAUCAGACACAGCGGCACGGACUUCGGUCUGGUGGCGAUGGCGAACGGGUGAGUAAUGUAUCGGAACGUGUGCCCUAUUAGCGGGGAUAACUGCUAAGCGUAACUUCUAAUACCAUAUACGCCCUUCGAGGAAAGCGAAGGGACCUUCGGGCUCCGCUAUUAGAGCGGCCGAUAUCGGAUUAGCCAGUUGGUGGAUAACGGCUCACCAGGCGACGAUCCGUAGCUGGUUUGAGAGGACGACCAGCCACACUGGGACUGGAGCUGGCCCAGACUCCUGGGAGGCAGCAGUGGGGAAUUUUGGACAAUGGGGAAGCCUGAAUCCAGCCAUCCCGCGUGUGCGAUGAAGGCCUUUGGGUUGGCAAAGCACUUUUGGCAGGAAAGAAACGGCCACGGGAUAAUACCCCGUGCAACUGACGGCUCACCUGCCAGAAUAAGCACCGGCUAACUGCAGUGCCGGCAUGCGGUGACCCGUAGGGUGCAAGCGUUAAUCGGAAUUACUGGGCGUAAAGCGUGCGCAGGCGGUUCGGAAAGAAGAUGGCAAAAUCAGAGCAACUUUGGAACUGCAUUUUUUAACUACCGAGCUAGAGUGUGUCAGAGGGAGGUGGAAUUCCGCCGUGUGGCAAAGGUGAAGGUGCGUAGAUAUGCGGAGGAACACCGAUGGCGAGCAAACCUCCUGGGAUAACACUGACGCUCAUGCACGAAAACGUAGAACAACCAGGAUUAGAUACCCUGGUAGUCCACGCCUAAACGAUAUCAACUGGCUGUUGGGGCCUUCCGGGCCUUGGUAGCGCAACUAACGCGUGAAGUUGACCGCCUGGGAAGUCAGUCGCAAGAUUAGAAGCCGCAAAGGAAUUGACGGGGACCCGCACAAGCGGUGGAUGUGGAUUAAUUCGGUGCAACGCGAAAGAAGCCUUACCUACCCUUGACAUGUCUGGAAUCCCGAAGAGGACUGGUGCUCGCAAGAGGAACCGGAACACAGGUGCUGCAUGGCUGUCGUCAGCUGUGUCGUGAGAUGUUAGGUUAAGUCCCCGCAGCGACGCAACCCUUCGCUCAUCGUGGUUUGCUACGAAGGGCACUCCCUAAUGAGACUGCCGGUGACAAACCAGGGGAAGGUGGGGAUGACGUCAAGUCCUCCAGCCCCUUAUGGGUAGGGCUUCACACGUCAUACAAUGGCAGGUCGGGACAGAGGGUCGCCGCGAGGGGGAGCCAAUCCCAGAGACCCGAUCGUAGUCGGAUCACCGGUCUGCAACUCAGCUGCGUGAAGUCGGAAUCGCUAGUAAUCGCGGAUCGGCAUGUCGCAGUGAAUACGACCCGGGUCUUGUACACACCGCCCGUCCCGUACACCAUGGGAGUGGGUUUUGCAAGUAGUCAGCCCUAGCCGUAAGGAGGAGGCGGUUACCACGGUAAGUUCACUGACUGGGGUGAAGUCGUAACAGAGUAG
rnacentral:rRNA from 1 species